rnacentral:tRNA from 1 species
GCUAGCUUGGCAGAAAAGUGCAUUAGAUUUAGAAUCUUUAUAUAUAAUUGUUAUUAUAGGUAGUA